UACGUAGGGACCGAGCGUUGUCCGGAUUCAUUGGGCGUAAAGAGCUCGUAGGCGGCUGCUCAAGUCGGAUGUGAAAUCCCCAGGCUUAACCUGGGAACUGCAUCCGAUACUGGAUGGCUUGAAUCCGGGAGAGGGAUGCAGAAUUCCAGGUGUAGCGGUGAAAUGCGUAGAUAUCUGGAGGAAUACCGGUGGCGAAGGCGGCAUCCUGGACCGGCAUUGACGCUGAUGAGCGAAAGCUAGGGGAGCAAACGGG
rnacentral:rRNA from 1 species